rnacentral:rRNA from 1 species
GACGAACGCUGGCGGCAUGCCUAACACAUGCAAGUCGAGCGAGUAGAUCCCUUCGGGGUGAAGCUAGCGUCGGACGGGUGAGUAACACGUGGGCAACCUGCCUCAUAGAGGGGAAUAGCCUUCCGAAAGGAAGAUUAAUACAGCAUAAGAUUGUAGUAACGCAUGGUAUAGCAAUUAAAGGAGUAAUCCGCUAUGAGCUGGGCCCGCGGCGCAUUAGCUAGUUGGUGAGGUAACGGCUCACCAAGGCGACGAUGCGUAGCCGACCUGAGAGGGUGAUCGGCCACAUUGGGACUGAGACACGGCCCAGACUCCUACGGGAGGCAGCAGUGGGGAAUAUUGCACAAUGGGGGAAACCCUGAUGCAGCAAUGCCGCGUGAGUGAUGACGGCCUUCGGGUUGUAAAGCUCUGUCUUCGGGGACGAUAAUGACGGUACCCGAGGAGGAAGCCACGGCUAACUACGUGCCAGCAGCCGCCGUAA